AACGAACGCUGGCGGCAGGCCUAACACAUGCAAGUCGAACGAGACCUGCGGGUCGGGUGGCGCACGGGUGCGUAACGCGUUGGAACCUGCCCUUAGGUUCGGAAUAACUUCCCGAAAGGGGUGCUAAUACCGGAGAAUGUAUUCGGACCAAAGAUUUAUCGCCUGUGGAUGGGCCCGCGUUGGAUUAGGUAGUUGGUAGGGUAAAAGCCUACCAAGGCGACGAUCCAUAGCUGGUCUGAGAGGAUGAUCAGCCACACUGGGACUGAGACACGGCCCAGACUCCUACGGGAGGCAGCAGUGGGGAAUAUUGGACAAUGGGCGAAAGCCUGAUCCAGCAAUGCCGCGUGAGUGAUGAAGGCCUUAGGGUUGUAAAGCUCUUUUACCCGGGAUGAUAAUGACAGUACCGGGAGAAUAAGCUCCGGCUAACUCCGUG
rnacentral:rRNA from 1 species